GAUGAACGCUAGCUGGAGGCUUAAUACAUGCAAGUCGAGCGGGAUUGGUAGCAAUACCAUGAGAGCGGCGCACGGGUGAGUAACGCGUACACGACCUACCUCUGACAGGGGGCUAGCCCCGGGAAACUGGGAUUAAUACCGCAUAUUAUUCUGAUUAAUAAAGGAUUGGAGUGAAAGUUCAGGCGGUCAGAGAUGGGUGUGCGUCUGAUUAGCUAGUUGGUGGGGUAACGGCCUACCAAGGCGAUGAUCAGUAGGGGGCGUGAGAGCGUGGUCCCCCACACGGGUACUGAGACACGGACCCGACUCCUACGGGAGGCAGCAGUAAGGAAUAUUGGACAAUGGCCGCAAGGCUGAUCCAGCCAUCCAGCGUGCAGGAAGAAGGCCCUAUGGGUUGUAAACUGCUUUUAUCAGGGAAGAAACCUCUGGAUUUACUCCGGAGCUGACGGUACCUGAAGGAUAAGCACCGGCUAACUCCGUGCCAGCCGCCGCCGUAA
rnacentral:rRNA from 1 species